rnacentral:lncRNA from 1 species
CGGGGUGCUAGGGUCAGUCUGUCACAUCUGGAGUAUUUCUCUUGUCUUUUCUGGUGUCCUGUGUGAAUUUAAAUAUGCUCUGUCUAAUUCUCUCUUUCUCUUUCUUUCUUUCUCUCUCUAGGACCAUGCCUCAGGACUACCUGGCUUGAUGACUCCUUGCUGUCCCCAGUUUACCUGGCCGUGCUGCUGCUCCAGUUCCAAUUGUUCUGCCUGCAGCUAUGGAACCCUGACCUGUUCACCGGACAUACUACCUGUCCCAGACCUGUUGUCCCAGACCUGCUGGAACGCUGACCUAUUCACCGGACGUGCUACCUGUCACAGACCUGCUGUUUUCAACUCUCUAGAGACAGCAGGAGCGGUAGAGAUACUCUCAAAGAUCGGCUAUGAAAAAGCCAACUGACACUUACUCUUGUGUUACUGACUUGUUGCACCCUCGACAACUACUAUGAUUAUUAUUAUUUGACAAUGCUGGUCAUUUAUGAACAUUUGAACAUCUUGGCCAUGUGCUGUUAUAAUCUCCACCCGGCACAGCCAGAAGAGGACUGGCCACCCCUCAUAGCCUGGUUCCUCUCUAGGUUUCUUCCUAGGUUUUGGCAUUUCUAGGGAGUUUUUCCUAGCCACCGUGCUUCUACACCUGCAUUGCUUGCUGUUUGGGGUUUUAGGCUGGGUUUCUGUACAGCACUUUGAGAUAUCAGCUGAUGUAAGAAACGCUUUAUAAAUACAUUUGAUUUGAUUUGACUUCUUCCGGGAACGUCGCAAUUACAACUGAAAACGAUGGUGACAAGUUUGGAUGCGACAACAGUUAAAAAGGACAGAACAUGGACACAAUGCAAUUGGGAUCAAGAAGGUACAGAUUGUCACGCCCUGACCAGGUGAACUCGGGUAUAUUGGGUCAGGGUGUGUCAGGUUAGGUAUUUUUCAUUGGUUUGUGUUUGGUUUACGUUUUAGCCUUGUGUAGGCUCUAGGUGGGUUUAUUUCUAUGUUGGGUUCUGUCGAUUCCCAAUCAGAGACAGCUGUCGCUAAUUGUCUCUGAUUGGGAUCACAUUUAAGUUGCUGUUUUCCCCACGCUGUUUGUGGGGUGUUGUCUCUUUGUUUGAGCACGUAUCUGCAUUUUUCUUGAUUUUGUGUACAUGUUUAAUUCCAGUGUGUUGAAUAAACAUGUGUUCGCUCCCAGCUGCGUUUUGGUCCGCUUCCUCGUCACCAGGCGAUGCACGUUACACAGAUAUGUUGUAGGACAUCUGCAUUUCAAGUGUACAUUUAACCUACAUAGCAGUCAAUACAAACUGACAUCUAUUAGCAUACAAAUGUGUGCAAAUUAUCUUUUCAGAUCUUCUCAGAAAUGAAUCAAGUCCAUGGAAUGGAUAUAGACAAAAAGAUAAUUCAAGGACUAUCAGAGGUAGAGAGGCGAGGCAGGGGACUGGAGACCACAGCAGCGAUUCUGCUCUUGCCCUACCUCUUCAAUGAGGACCCGAGUGGCCUUUAUGUCCGUGACAAGAUUUCACCGCUCUUCACUCCUUUACUGCACAUCGGUGGAAAUCCAUUUCACCAUGAGAGUGAAAUCCCGCUGGCCUUUGACGGGGAGAACAUCCAGGCCCUAGAGGACGUCCCCGUGGGACUUGGGGCUCUGCUACGGCUGGAUUUUUAUUUUCCCUUAAAUUUCCCC